rnacentral:rRNA from 1 species
CAGCAGCCACGGGAAUACGAAGGGUGCAAGCGUUACUCGGAAUUACUGGGCGUAAAGCGUGCGUAGGUGGUGGUUUAAGUCCGUUGUGAAAGCCCUGGGCUCAACCUGGGAAUUGCAGUGGAUACUGGGUCACUAGAGUGUGGUAGAGGAUAGUGGAAUUUCCGGUGUAGCAGUGAAAUGCGUAGAGAUCGGAAGGAACAUCUGUGGCGAAGGCGACUAUCUGGGCCAACACUGACACUGAGGCACGAAAGCGUGGGGAGCAAACAGGAUUAGAUACCCGAGUAGUCCCUGUCUCUUAUAC